rnacentral:rRNA from 1 species
UCCUACCUACGGGGGGCAGCAGUGAGGAAUAUUGGUCAAUGGGCGGGAGCCUGAACCAGCCACGUCGCGUGAAGGAAGAAGGUACUUAGUAUUGUAAACUUCUUUUGUCGGGGAACAAAGGCGGAGACGCGUCUCCGGAUGAGUGUACCCGAAGAAAAAGCAUCGGCUAACUCCGUGCCAGCAGCCGCGGUAAUACGGAGGAUGCGACCGUUAUCCGGAUUUAUUGGGCUUAA